CUCAGCUACAGUCCAGACCUCAAAUAAUCUACAGGAUGAAAUUAUGAAUUUUUAAGAUCUAAAAAAUAAGAGAAGGAAGAAGGAAUUGACUUCCAAUGUUUUGCUAAAAAGAUUAUUCAUGAUGAUCCAAGAGCACAUCCACCCCUCACAAUCACC